UGGGUCGCUUCUCAUGCACUUAGUUGGAAAGCAAAAAUUAAAGUGAUUCUCAAGGGUUUUCUUUCCAAAGCUUUUGGAGUUAAGGCUUGAGGAUAACCAUUUUGAUGGUCAGAUACCAGAUUUUCAACAGAAGUCAUUGAUAUCUUUUAAAUGUAUCGGGCAAUGAAUUGGAGGGUCCAAUUCCAAAUAGCCUUAGUGGAAUAGAUUCAAGCUCCUUCUCUGGUGAGUCAACUUUUUAUGAGAUCAUCUGUGUAUAUAUAUCCAUAUAUAUAAUGUAUCAUGUGCAUGUACAUGUAUAUGUACUUACACAAACUUGUUUCUUCAGUUGUUGUAUUUAUUCUUCACAGAGUUAUCAGAAAAUUGUUGCUUCUAACAAACUCUAAGGUACAAAGUAAUAGUUACAAAUCUGCAUUCUUAUGUUUUGAACUAAAAUAUUGAUUAAGCCUGUAACUGAUCUAUUGGAUUCUAUAUUGUUAUGGUAAUUAAAAUAGAGACUACUGUUUUCCUAUAAGAUUAAUUGUUAAAUCUAUAUCUAUUUAAUUAAAAUUUUUCAUGUCUGAACAUAUAUAUGAUCAUCUCAAGGUUUCAUUGGCAUCUAUAGCACUUUCCAUUGAUUAGCCAACUUAAGCCUUCAAAGAACUGAAAACCCACAUGAAACAAUGCCUAAAGCCCACAUGUGCAUAUAUACAAAGGUAAAUAUGUUUGAAAACAUUCAGGCAGUGAUGGUUUGUCCUAUCAAUGGCAAAAAAAUUUAGAGCUAUGUGGAAAGCGUAUGGGUAAUUGCAACGAAGGCUCAAUUCCAAGUGUCCUUGUGAUUGUUAUAUACUUGCAACGAUGGCAACAGUAUGCAUAGGUAUAGUGGUCUUCAUCAACCACAAGAGGCAACCAUCUUUAUUGACAAAGGCUCUUGUACAGCCAUCAAACUUGCAAAAGAAAUCAGGCAUAAAGGAAUCGAACGAAUCAGGGCAAGACUCAACAAACAGCAGUGGAAAUACCAAGAAGGUUGAGAAUGUGAAGCUGACCUUUGUCAGGGAAGAUAGGGAUAGGUUUGAUCUGCAGGAAUUGCUUAAAGCCUCAGCUGAGAUAUUGGGCAGUGGAUCCUUUGGGUCUUCUUACAAGGCUGCCUUGCAUAAUGGACAGGUGAUGGUUGUGAAGCGGUUCAAACAAAUGAAUAAUUUGGGGAAAAGGAGUUUCAAGAGCAUAUGAGCAAGCUAGGGAGGUUGAGACACCCGAAUCUGCUUCCUCUGGUGGCUUACUACUUUAUAUUGGAAGGAAGAGAAGCUCUUGGCAUUUGACUAUGUGCAGAAGGCCAGCUUGGCCGUUCAUCUACAUGGUAGUUCAGCCCCAAGACAACCCACAUAGCCCUUUGUUCAUGCCACUUGCUUUUCCAUUCCUCCUCUGUUUUGUUCAAACCACAAGUCGGCAACUUAUGGCCAUUAAUAGGUCUCUCUCUGCCACAUAUUGAAGAUGUUCAACCACACUGAAUGCUAAACUCUUGGCCACGAUAUUCGGAAUUGAAGUUUGGAAAUGAAUCAAAGUUGUGGAAGGAAUCAAAGAAGGGAAAGAAUUGUAACCAUAACAAACUUCAAC